AGAGUUUGAUUAUGGCUCAGAACGAACGCUGGCGGCGUGGAUAAGACAUGCAAGUCGAACGCUGAUUUCAGGGUAGCAAUAUUCUGAAGUCGGAGUGGCGCAAGGGUGCGUAACACGUGGGUAAUCUGCCGUGAAGCUUGGAAUAACCCCGAGAAAUCGGGGCUAAUGCCGGAUGUGACUUUUGGGAGGCAUCUCCCGAACUUCAACGCUGGGGACCGUAAGGCCUGGCACUUCACGAUGAGCCCGCGGCCUAUCAGCUAGUUGGUGAGGUAACGGCUCACCAAGGCUAAGACGGGUAGCUGGUCUGAGAGGACGACCAGCCACACUGGAACUGAGACACGGUCCAGACACCUACGGGUGGCAGCAGUCGAGAAUUUUUCACAAUGGGCGAAAGCCUGAUGGAGCGACGCCGCGUGGGGGAUGAAUGGCUUCGGCCCGUAAACCCCUGUCAUUCGCGAGCAAAGCUGCGUGUAUAAUACAUGCGCAGUUGAUAGUAGCGAAAGAGGAAGGGACGGCUAACUCUGUGCCAGCCGCCGCGGUAA
rnacentral:rRNA from 1 species